rnacentral:rRNA from 1 species
AGCGAACGCUGGCGGCAGGCUUAACACAUGCAAGUCGAGCGCCCGUAGCAAUACGGGAGCGGCAGACGGGUGAGUAACACGUGGGAACGUGCCCUUCGGUUCGGAACAACCCAGGGAAACUUGGGCUAAUACCGGAUACGCCCUUAACGGGGAAAGAUUUAUCGCCGAAGGAUCGGCCCGCGUCUGAUUAGCUAGUUGGUGGGGUAACGGCCCACCAAGGCGACGAUCAGUAGCUGGUCUGAGAGGAUGAUCAGCCACACUGGGACUGAGACACGGCCCAGACUCCUACGGGAGGCAGCAGUGGGGAAUCUUGGACAAUGGGCGCAAGCCUGAUCCAGCCAUGCCGCGUGGGUGAUGAAGGCCCUAGGGUUGUAAAGCCCUUUCGGCGGGGAAGAUAAUGACGGUACCCGCAGAAGAAGCCCCGGCUAACUUCGUGC